CAGCUCCCCAGCAUAAGAUUCCAACUGCUGGGGAAACAGCCCCAAACAUAGAGAUGCCCAUUUUUCCACCAGAAACCACAGCCUGGAAACUCCAUCUCCUUACCCAAGAGCCAUCUUGAAAUGACCUUCUUGUUCUCAACCCUGUCUCCAGAACCCAGGACCACCAGCCCAUCAUGGCACCACCAAAUAGCUGGACCCUCCCUCAUUAAUCACUGAAUAAGAAAGCUCCCUUGGACUGGAGAGAUGGCUCAGUGGUUAAGACUGCUCUUCCAGAAGUCGUGAGUUCAAUUCCCAGCAACCACAUGGUGGGUCACACCCAUCUAUUUGAGAUCUGAUGCCCUCUUCUGGUGUGUCUGAAGAGAGCAACAGUGUACUCUCAUACAUAAAAUAAAAUAAAGACUUUAAAAAGAAAGAAAACACCCUCUAGGCAUGUGACAGUUUGAGCAUGCUUGGUCCAUGGGAAGUGGCACUGUUAGGAAGUGUGGCCUUCUUGGAGGAGGCUUUGAGGCCUCAUAUAUACGCUCAAGUCUGGCCAGUGUGAUCCAGAGACUCCUGGCUGCCUUGUGAAUCAAGAUGUAGAACUCUCAGCUCCUCCAGCACUAUGUCUGCCUGCAGGCUGCCAUGUUCCCACCAUGAUGAUAAUGGACUGAACAUCUGAAACUGUGAGCCGGCCCCAGAUAAAUGUUUUCUUCUACAAGAGUUGCCUUGGACACAUUGUCCCUUCACAGCAAUGAAACUCUAACUGAGACAAAGUCUGAUCUUAUGGGGGCAUUUUCUCAAUUGAGGUUCCCUCCUUUUAAGUGACUCUAGCCUGUGUCAAGUUGACAUAAACUAAUCAACACAGGAAACAUGUUCACACUUGCAGCCACUGUCUGGACCACAGAUAAAAGAAAAUGAGGGAAACCUUAAGUAUGACAUUUUUGUUUUCUGGGGCAGACUUACUCAACCCAGGAUAGCCUUUUGUCUCCGGGCAGGAAGUAGACUUGCAAACUCAGCCUGAUUCAGGGGCCCAGGUCUCUCUUUAGGAUCAAUCUUAAGAUGUAACUUGUAGUCAUUGGAAGGGCUUUGGGUUAGAAUCAAGAUCUUCAUUCUUGUCCUAGAUCUGUCACUGACAAACAGUGUGACCUUGGGACUCAGUUUCAUCUUUGUAGUAAAUUGAACCAACUAACUUAUUCUAACAUUUUAAGAUGCAGACCCAAACUCUGCCAUGCCUCCAUUCUGUUCCAAACCUUCUUGCCUUCAGCCAACUAUGCCUUCCACUCCUCAGUCUGAUGUUCCUAUCCCCUCCAGACACUGUCAAGAUGGAAAGAGUGCAAGGCCAUGGUUCUGUUAGCGUUGGGACUUCUCUUUUCAGACUGAGAGUCAAAUUUAAAUUGUACCCCGAUCAGUACCAAAGCAGAGAUGCUCUGAUCUCCUUCACAAUGGAAGUAAAAACAGCUCACCUCUUCUUUCCCUUUCUCUCUGUUCCUGCUCUCCCCCGAUCACUCAGUCAAGUAAUAUGUAUUAAGUGGAUCUGUCUGCAAGGCACCGUGCAGAAAUGUAAUCCAAAAUGACAAGGGCCUUGUCCAAAAGGAACUUAAAAAUCCCACGAGGAUGUAACAUAGAUGGAGCGUUAAAGGCAGCCUGCUGCCCUCAUACGGCAAGAAUGGAUGGAGUCUUCUAAUGCCUUUAAUGUUUUAACAUUUCUUUUACCCACAUUGGAUGUUAAUUUUACAGUGCUAUCUUGUUUGGGGUAUCUGUCUUCCGCCUUAUCCAUGGAACAAGCUAACCUGCUCUAAGACUCUGGGUCCUUCCUGCAGACACCCAUCCAUGCCCUGCCCAGCUGGUGCCUCACCUUCAUACCCUGAUAGCCAAUCAAACCUCUGUAGCCCAAUACAAAGGCUGAAGGCUGUGACACGGACAAUGGUUCUCUUAGCGGAUGGAGUUACAGAACUGGAAGCCUGCCUUCCUCUACUCCCAAGGCCCAGGGACUUUGCAGUGUCUCCUGUUCCUUAACUCUUCUCCGAAUCCCUCAUUAAGCCUCCUAGAGAGCGAGUUCGGCUCUCUGCCUCUUUUGGUCCUGACGCCUGAACACUCAUAUCUGCUCCAUCCAUAAUAACUUCUCCAGAGCUCUUCACAACGUGAGCGGCCUUACACUUACAGUUUCUCAUCUAAUCUUCUCAGCAAAGCUGUGAGGUGGGAUUAUUAUGCUCUUUCUUGACAGCUAAGAACGAAGGGCUCACAGAGAUUUCGUGAAUGGCCCGAGACCUCCCAGGGGGCCCAGCUGUGCUGAACAGUGACUUCACAGAUGGGUCUUUUGGUUCCAAGCCCUGCUUUCCCCCCUUUUCCCCUGCACAGUCUUCAGUAUGAAACUAAAGGGAAGUUCCGUUUCUCCCAGUAUAUCCAUCGCUAAAUUGUGGGUCUAAACAGUCACAACAGCCACUCCCUUGGGCUCGCUAAGCAUCCGGGUGAUUUCAACCCAUGCUCUCACCUGUCUCUUAUACAAUUUACAGCAUAGCUAAGUAGGGCCCAUGCAGCAAUCACAGGACUAGAGAGCUGGCCACAGGAGGAUCAGAAAUACAAAGAAAGUUCUAGAUACACAGCAAAAUCAAACCCAGCCCUGGCUACAUUUGAGACCUUGUCCCUAAAGAACUGAAAUGAGGGCCAGAGAGUUGACUCCGUGGUUAAGGACACUUGCUAUUCUUACAGUGGUUGAGUUUCCAGUACCCACAUGGCCAUUCACAACCUUCUGUAACUCAAAUUCCAGGGGUCUAACACAUCCUAUGACCUCCACAGGUAUGUAGUAAACCAACAUAUAUUCAUACAUGCAUAUACACAGACAAACAUGCAUAUACACAGACAAAGCACUCAUACAGAUAAAGUAAACCUCCAAAAGUAAGUUCUAAGCUAUAUUUCAAUUUAAAGAAACAAUAUUCAUAACAAUAAGAACCUAGGGCUAUUAUUCUGAUACAUGGACAUGUUAUAAAAAUGACUCCAGUUUAAAAAAUGAUUUAUUUAUUUAUUUAUUUUAUAUAUAUGAGUACACAGUCGCUGUCUUCAGACACACCAAAAGAGUGAAUCAGAUCCCAUUACAGAUGGUUGUGAGCCACCAUGUGGUUGCUGGGAAUUGAACUCAGGACCUCUGGAAGAGCAGCCAGUGCUCUUAACCACCAAGUCAUCUCUCCAGCCCAUAAAAAUGACUCUUGAUGACUUAUCAUUACUCAUCGAUUAAUGCAUCUCUCAACCCUCAUCAGAGAAGCUUCUUGGUCCAGUAGAUGGCAAUUAACUGCAGAGACCCACAAUUUACCAACAUGCAGAGAAUAAGAAAAUGUGGAGUGCCUUGCUCAUGGGGGCAUGGGUGUGGCCAUGGGCAUGGCUCUCCUCUGUUGAUGGCUUCUGGCAUGGAUACAGGUGAAGAAGGACUCAUCCUCCCUGGGUCAGGGGGGGCUGGAUGCUGGGAAUUUGACUCAUGCUCCACUGAGUAUAUGGACAACACAAAAUGAACUUGCCUUUUCCUUUUAGGGAGGGGAAGAGAGGAGAGGGGGGCAGACACAGGAAGAUUGGAAGGUGAGCAAUAUCAGGGUACAAAAUGUGAGAUUCCCAAAUCAAUUAAAAAAGGAAAAGAAAGAAACUGGAGUGCUCAGCCCUAAAUGGGACAUAUAUAUCAUAUCCCUUCCUUUAAGGCACAGAGAGACAAUUGUGGAUAAUUAUCAUGUAAAA